AUAUCAGAAGAGGCUGGUAAGUUUGGUCUGGGAUGGGGUAGGUAAUAUCAGAAGAGGUUGGUAAGUUUGGUCUGGGAUGGGGUAGGUAAUAUCAGAAGAGGCUGGUAAGUUUGU